rnacentral:rRNA from 1 species
GAGUUUGAUCAUGGCUCAGAACGUACGCUGGCGGCACGCCUAACACAUGCAAGUCGAACGAAGUAGCAAUACUUAGUGGCAGACGGGUGAGUAACAUGUAGGUAUCUGCCCUUUGGCCUGGAAUAACGCGAGGAAACUUGUGCUAAUACCGGAUAAGUCUUUACGGAGAAAGCUUUAUGCACCAUUGGAUGAGCCUGCACUUGAUUAGUUUGUUGGUGGGGUAAUGGCCUACCAAGACUGUGAUCAAUAGCUGAUUUGAGAGGAUGAUCAGCCACAUUGGGACUGAGACACGGCCCAAACCCCUACGGGAGGCAGCAGUGGGGAAUCUUGCACAAUGGAGGAAACUCUGAUGCAGCGAUGCCGCGUGAGUGAAGAAGGCCUUUGGGUUGUAAAGCUCUUUCGUCGGGGAAGAAAAUGACUGUACCCGAAUAAGAAGGUCCGGCUAACUUCGUGCCAGCAGCCGCGGUAAUACGAAGGGACCUAGCGUAGUUCGGAAUUACUGGGCUUAAAGAGUUCGUAGGUGGUUGAAAAAGUUAGUGGUGAAAUCCCAGAGCUUAACUCUGGAACUGCCAUUAAAACUUUUCAGCUAGAGUAUGAUAGAGGAAAGCAGAAUUUCUAGUGUAGAGGUGAAAUUCGUAGAUAUUAGAAAGAAUACCAAUUGCGAAGGCAGCUUUCUGGAUCAUUGCUGACACUGAGGAACGAAAGCAUGGGUAGCGAAGAGGAUUAGAUACCCUCGUAGUCCAUGCCGUAAACGAUGUGUGUUAGACGUUGGAAAUUUAUUUUCAGUGUCGCAGGGAAACCGAUAAACACACCGCCUGGGGAGUACGACCGCAAGGUUAAAACUCAAAUGAAUUGACGGGGACCCGCACAAGUAGUGGAGCAUGUGGUUUAAUUCGAAGAUACGCGCAGAACCUUACCAACACUUGACAUGUUCGUCGCGACUCUAAGAGAUUAGAGUUUUCGGUUCGGCCGGACGAAACACAGGUGCUGCAUGGCUGUCGUCAGCUCGUGUCGUGAGAUGUUGGGUUAAGUCCCGCAACGAGCGCAACCCUCACUUUUAGUUGCCAUCAUUAAGUUGGGCACUCUGAAAGAACUGCCAGUGAUAAGCUGGAGGAAGGUGGGGAUGACGUCAAGUCCUCAUGGCCCUUACGUGUUGGGCUACACACGUGCUACAAUGGUAUCUACAACAGGAAGCAAGACUGCGAAGUUAAGCAAAUCCCUAAAAGAUACCUCAGUUCGGAUUGCACUCUGCAACUCGAGUGCAUGAAGCUGGAAUUACUAGUAAUCGUGGAUCAGCGUGCCACGGUGAAUGCGUUCCCGGGUCUUGUACACACCGCCCGUCACACCAUGGGAGUUGGUUCUACCUUAAGGCAAGGUUUCAAACCCUUGACCACGGUAUAGUCAGCGACUGGGGUGAAGUCGUAACAAGGUAACC